rnacentral:rRNA from 1 species
AGAGUUUGAUCCUGGCUCAGGACGAACGCUGGCGGCGCGCCUAACACAUGCAAGUCGAACGGAGCUGUUUUCUCUGAAGUUUUCGGAUGGAAGAGAGUUCAGCUUAGUGGCGAACGGGUGAGUAACACGUGAGCAACCUGCCUUUCAGUGGGGGACAACAUUUGGAAACGAAUGCUAAUACCGCAUAAGACCACAGUGUCGCAUGGCACAGGGGUCAAAGGAUUUAUCCGCUGAAAGAUGGGCUCGCGUCCGAUUAGCUAGAUGGUGAGGUAACGGCCCACCAUGGCGACGAUCGGUAGCCGGACUGAGAGGUUGAACGGCCACAUUGGGACUGAGACACGGCCCAGACUCCUACGGGAGGCAGCAGUGGGGAAUAUUGCACAAUGGGGGAAACCCUGAUGCAGCGACGCCGCGUGGAGGAAGAAGGUCUUCGGAUUGUAAACUCCUGUCCCAGGGGACGAUAAUGACGGUACCCUGGGAGGAAGCACCGGCUAACUACGUGCCAGCAGCCGCGGUAAAACGUAGGGUGCAAGCGUUGUCCGGAAUUACUGGGUGUAAAGGGAGCGCAGGCGGGAAGACAAGUUGGAAGUGAAAUCUAUGGGCUCAACCCAUAAACUGCUUUCAAAACUGUUUUUCUUGAGUAGUGCAGAGGUAGGCGGAAUUCCCGGUGUAGCGGUGGAAUGCGUAGAUAUCGGGAGGAACACCAGUGGCGAAGGCGGCCUACUGGGCACUAACUGACGCUGAGGCUCGAAAGCAUGGGUAGCAAACAGGAUUAGAUACCCUGGUAGUCCAUGCCGUAAACGAUGAUUACUAGGUGUGGGAGGAUUGACCCCUUCCGUGCCGCAGUUAACACAAUAAGUAAUCCACCUGGGGAGUACGACCGCAAGGUUGAAACUCAAAGGAAUUGACGGGGGCCC